rnacentral:lncRNA from 1 species
AAUUUAGACCCAUUAUAAAGUCACAAAUAAUAUCCAGUCACAAUUCACAAAACUACUGACUGUUUCUAGAACAAACGAAAAAGAACUUGAUGAUUGGUAUUCGAAACUUAAGUUUGAAUCCUAGUUGAUUCACAUUUCCAGCUAAGUUUAUUUCUAAAUGAAAUAAACGAAGCGGGUAGCAUGCUAUCUAUCUCUCAAAAAAAUUAAAAAAUUCAUAGAACUAAUUUUAACAUUCAGUCUUUUAAAAUUUUAAUUUUAUUAUUUAUUUUUUAUUUUAAUAUUUUCUUUGAUUAAUAAUAUUUUAAUCUUAAAUUAAGCUAAUUAUUUUUUGUAAUAAAUUUAUAGUUAGAAAAAUAAA